rnacentral:rRNA from 1 species
GACGAACGCUGGCGGCGUGCUUAACACAUGCAAGUCGAACGGUGAAGCCCCACCUUGCUGGAGUGGUUCAGUGGCGAACGGGUGAGUAACACGUGAGCAACCUGCCCCUGACUCUGGAAUAAGCGCUGGAAACGGCGUCUAAUACCGGAUACGAGAAGCUUCCGCAUGGGCACUUUCUGGAAAGUUUUUCGGUUGGGGAUGGGCUCGCGGCCUAUCAGCUUGUUGGUGAGGUAAUGGCUCACCAAGGCGACGACGGGUAGCCGGCCUGAGAGGGCGACCGGCCACACUGGGACUGAGACACGGCCCAGACUCCUACGGGAGGCAGCAGUGGGGAAUAUUGCACAAUGGGCGGAAGCCUGAUGCAGCGACGCCGCGUGAGGGAUGACGGCCUUCGGGUUGUAAACCUCUUUCAGCAGGGAAGAAGCGAGAGUGACGGUACCUGCAGAAGAAGCACCGGCUAACUACGUG